UAGUGUUACAGCUCUUUUAGAAUUUGUCUAGCAGUUUUUCCCGUCCGCACUGGAAAACACCCCA
ensembl:snRNA U7 U7 small nuclear RNA